GGCGAACUGGUGAGUAACACGUGGGUAACCUGCCCAGAAGAAGGGGAUAACACCUGGAAACAGAUGCUAAUACCGUAUAACAACAAGAACCACAUGGUUCUUGUUUGAAAGCUGGCCUUUGUGCUAGUGCUUCUGGAUGGACCCGCGGCGUAUUAGCUAGUUGGUGAGAUAAUAGCUCACCAAGGCAAUGAUACGUAGCAGACCUGAGAGGGUAAUCUGCCACAAUGGGACUGAGACACGGCCCAUACUCCUACGGGAGGCAGCAGUAGGGAAUCUUCCACAAUGGACGAAAGUCUGAUGGAGCAACGCCGCGUGAGUGAAGAAGGGUUUCGGCUCNUAAAACUCUGUUGUUAGAGAAGAACAGCCGUGAGAGCAACUGCUCACGGUAUGACGGUAUCUAACCAGAAAGUNACGGCUAACUACGUGCCAACANCCGCGGUAAUACGUAGGUGGCAAACGUUGUCCGGAUUUAUUGGGCGUAAAGGGAGCGCAGGCGGUUUAUUAAGUCUGAUGUGAAAGCCUUCGGCUUAACCGGAGAAGUGCAUCGGAAACUGAUAAACUUGAGUGCAGAAAAGGAUAGUGGAACUUCAUGUGUAGCGGUGAAAUGCGUAGAUAUAUGAAGGAACACCAGUGGCGAAGGCGGCUAUCUGGUCUGUAACUGACGCUGAGGCUCGAAAGCAUGGGUAGCAAACAGGAUUAGAUACCCUGGUAGUCCAUGCCGUAAACGAUGAAUGCUAGGUGUUGGAAGGUUUCCGCCUUUCAGUGCCGCAGCUAACGCAUUAAGCAUUCCGCCUGGGGAGUACGACCGCAAGGUUGAAACUCAAA
rnacentral:rRNA from 2 species